UUAAGUUCAGCGGGUAUCCCUACCUGAUCCGAGGUCAACCUUAAGAAAGAUUUAACGGCCAAAAGCCGCCCGAACUCUUCAGCGAAAUAUAUGUCACAACGCUUAGAGACGAACUGCUCAGCCGGAGACUUUAAGGCGCGCGGAACCGCGACGCCCAAUACCAAGCUAGGCUUGAGUGGUGAAAUGACGCUCGAACAGGC
rnacentral:misc_RNA from 1 species